UUCGCAAUGCCCGAAAGGGUGACGAAGCGACGCCGCGUGUGGGAAGAAGGCCUUCGGGUUGUAAACCACUGUCGGGAGUUAAGAAAUACAAGGAUAUGAAUAGUGUCUUUGUUUGACUAAGGCUCCGGAGGAAGCCACGGCUAACUCUGUGCCAGCAGCCGCGGUAAUACAGAGGCGGCAAGCGUUGUUCGGAAUUAUUGGGCGUAAAGAGCACGUAGGCGGCUCUGUAAGUCAGCUGUGAAAGCCUUCUGCUUAACGGAAGAACAGCAGUUGAAACUACAGGGCUUGAGUGCGGGAGAGGAGAGUGGAACUUCUGGUGGAGCGGUGAAAUGCGUAGAUAUCAGAAGGAACGCCGGCGGCGAAAGCGGCUCUCUGGCCCGUAACUGACGCUGAGUGUGCGAAAGCUAGGGGAGCAAACGGGAUUAGAUACCCCGGUAGUCCUAGCCGUAAACGAUGGGCACUAAGUAGAGGGGUUUU
rnacentral:rRNA from 1 species